rnacentral:rRNA from 1 species
AAUGAGGGAGAGUUAACGGACCAUCGAGUAUCCACUGGAGGGCAAGUCUGGUGCCAGCAGCUGCGGUAAUACCAGCUCCAAUAGCGUAUAUUAAAGUUGUUGCAGUUAAAAAGCUCGUAGUUGGACUUGUGUGCGCUGUCCGCGGGUGGCCUGCGCCCAAAAGGGCGUUUCGGUUCGGCCCCGGUGGCGCCUUGAAAUCUGCAGCUGGGGGGACGUUGGCCUUAACUGGUCGGCGACCGCACGCCGGCUGCUCGGUUACUGUGAGAAAAUUAGAGUGUUCAAGGCAGGUAUUGGGUGCAAUUGAAUACAUUAGCAUGGAAUAAUAAAAUAUGGCUCCUGCCGUAUUUUGUUGGUUUUGACUGGUGGGAGUAAUGAUUGAUAGGGACGGUUGGGGGUGCUAGUAUUGAGCGGCCAGAGGUGAAAUUCAUGGAUUCGCUCAAGACUAACUUAUGCGAAAGCAUUCACCAAGGACGUCCUCUUUAAUCAAGAACGAAAGUUGGGGGAUCGAAGACGAUCAGAUACCGUCGUAGUCUCAACCAUAAACUAUGUCGACUUGGGAUCGGCGGUAGUUUUUUCAUUAAGACACUGUCGGGACCACGGGAGAAAUCAAAGUGUCUGGACUCUGGGGGAAGUAUGGUCGCAAGGCUGAAACUUGAAGGAAUUGACGGAAGGGCACCACCAGGAGUGGAGCCUGCGGCUUAAUUUGACCCAACACGGGGAAACUUACCAGGUCCAGAGAUAUAGAGGAUUGACAGAUUGAAGCUCUUUCUUGAUCACUUCGGUGGUGGUGCAUGGCCGUUCUUAGUUGGUGGAGUGAUUUGUCUGGUUAAUUCCGUUAACGAACGAGACCUCAGCCUGCUAGUGUAGUCGGCUGGAUUGCCUUUGGCGAUCCGUGAUUUCGACUUCUUAGAGGGACAAUCGACGCGCAGUCGAUGGAAGUUUGAGGCAAUAACAGGUCUGUGAUGCCCUUAGAUGUUCUGGGCCGCACGCGCGCUACACUGCUGGGCUCAGCGAGUUUUAUUUGGCCGAGAGGCCCGGUUAAUCUUGUGAAAUCCCAGCGUGCUUGGGCUCGCCUCCUGCAACUGGAGGCGCCAACGAGGAAUUCCUAGUAGACGCAGGUCAUCAACCUGCAUCGAUUACGUCCCUGCCCUUUGUACACACCGCCCGUCGUUCCAUAAGAGUGAGGCAUCCGGUGAAUUCUCGGGAGAGCCUGGGCGUGGCCAGCAAUGGUCUGCUCGGGUUUGAACUUGCAUAAACUUGGUGCCUAUGAUUAGGG